rnacentral:tRNA from 1 species
UCCCUGGUAGCUCAGACGGUAAAGAAUCCGCCUGCAAUGCGGGAGACCCAGGUUCGAUCCCUGGCUUAGAAA